CCCAGAGUGUACGGGGAAGAGGGCGGGGCCAGGCGUGGCUCCGACAACCAUUGGAGUGCUUCGGCCUGGGCGGGAUGGAGACUACAUUUCCCAGGGAUCAACGCGGGCCGGAAAGGGAGCGCCUCAGGCCCAGUGCGCACGCGCAUCAGCAGCCUGUGGCUAUAAAAGGGAGGU
rfam:Heterocephalus glaber contig97953, whole genome shotgun sequence.